CCGCCGUGACAUACGGCGCGGUGAAUACAUUUGACCAAUUAGAACUCAGCUAAGAAAUUACGUCACAGGUUUUCCCAACCUGUCAAUUUCGGCGUGACAAAUGGCCCGGUCUUGCGGAUUUGUUGUGAUUUUAUCGAAAUUAGGUAGAAACACCACCGCCACAUUCCAAUGCUGACAAUCGGUCACUGUAUAUUUUUUAUUACUUGAAGGAAGGAAAACAUCACCCAGAUGUAACUGUCGGUCACCAAAGUGGAAUCAGAAAGGCCGUUAAAAAAUAUUCCAUUAAAGGUGACAAUCUUUAUUAUGAAGCCAAGGGAAAACACCAGCUGGUAUGCCAUUCCAGAGAAGAGCGUGUGUCUGCCCUUAAGCACUGCCAUGAUGAACCAGGAACUGGUGGACAUUGGGGCAGAAACAAAACGCUGGACAAGAUACAGGAAUCCUAUUACUGGCUGGGGAUGGCAAAGGAUGUUGAGAAAUGGAUCAACGAAUGUGACCAGUGUCAGCGCCAGGAAAGGCUAAAGACAAUAGCACCAAUUCUGCAUCCAAUCGAGACCGAUUCUCCUUGGGAUUUAAUAGGGAUAGACCUGAUCGGCCCCUUUCAGAAAACAGAAGGUGGUAACAAUGAAUACAUAGCAGAGCAGAGCGCGAGAAACAUGUGCCUGAGGGUCUUGCUGAGUGGAAGAGUGUGCAAUAUCUCUGCAGCCAGCAGUUGGAUGGGAACAGUUGCAGUAUAUUCACAUGCAUGAAUGCUGAAUGCCUUGUAAAAGAUGUUUGCCCGACAGUCAUGCGCCAGCACCACGUUCCAUACUAUCGGGAGUAUGUGAUGAAGACACUGCUAGCUGCCAGGAACACAGACAACUGCGACUCCAAACUGUGUUUGCGUCCACAACUAAAAUGCUUGGAAUGGAAGGGUUGUGAUGGAUGUUUGAUGUGGGAGCAUUCUGUUUGCACGAUAAUAACAGACAAGCACCCGUACUGUGGACUUUGUUUGCCAUUGCACUACAAAAACUAAACAUUCUCAUUUCUUGAAUUUGCACUUUGAAUUCUUAUUGCUAUUUUCCUAUAGUCAUAUUAAGUUUUAAUUUGAAUGCAUACACAAUUACUUGAAGAUUUAUGUAAGAAAUGUACAAAAUUAUUUAUUAUAUUCAUAUAUUUAUCAUAUAAUAGCUAGCACAUCUAGUGUAAUCAAAGUAUGUGAUAUUUUUCAAACUAGAUUAAUUGAGGUCAUGGCAAAUGUUCUACGGUGACACUGCAUGCAUAAUUGUGACACUCCAUAAUUGAUGUGUGCAUUCAAAUAAAAACAUUUCAAUAGCAAUUUCACAUUCAGCACUACUAGUGUAGGGACAUCCAAAAUGACGUCAUUUGAAUCAGAAUCACAUUCUUACAUCAUUUGAAUAUCUAGUAAUGGCAGACUGGAAUUAAAGUUGCGUAUACAGUUUACAAAAAUAUGUUGCAUUAAGCUUGAGAUUAUAUGAUAAAGAGAUUAUGACCCUCGUGUGUUUCAAUAUCUUCAGUAUCAUAUAUUAGGAAUAAAAAUAUCAUACUGUGAAAUCUUUACUAGAUUAAUGGUUCUCACUUUAUGUCCAAAAUCUGGAAUAAAUAUAAUUCUCUGAGUACUGUGCAUGAUAAAUAAAAUGACUGCCUUAAGAUAUCGGCUUUAUUAUGCUCAGGUUGAAUGGCAAAUGCUGUUCUUUGCAGGAUAAAGUCGAUAUCUUAAGACAGUAACCAGUUAUUCUCCCUCCAUCUAAUGACCACCCUGGCCAUCACACUGUAAAGACACUAAAUAGAUUGGAAUAGUUCCUUAUUAUUUUUUAAUAAAAAUAGUCAGGUACUUAAGACCUCCACUAUUGCAGAUUAUGACCAGAAUAGUCGGACACAAAUGGUUAUUUUUAAUACAUUUUUUCUCCACCGAUACAAUUACAACAUGACCUAUUUUUAUCCCGUCUCACAUGUGAUAACCCAUAAUGGUAUGUCUCAUAAUAAAGGGUGACUAUUGUUCACUGCAGAAUUGUCAAGACAUUCAGUCAGAUAUGGCAAAUAAGCACAAAUUUCCUUCAUUUGUAUCAGAGUUUGAAGUACAAGAAUGAUCAUGAGUGGACAAAUUGAAUGGGACCCUGGGGGUUAUACACAAGAAGAUCCAUAAACAGUUUAGUGUUGGUUGUACUAUUUGUAGAUGUUAGUUUGUUUUUUUAUUUAUUUAAUUCAACCAAACUGGAUGUCGUAAUUGUGACAUAUAGUCUGAGAAAUCAGAUUCAAUACAAACUACCAAGCCACUGUGCAUACAGUUGCUACAUCCAUUCUUUUAAUCAACAUAAUUAUGACCACAGAAAUUAAUACAUGUACACUCAUAUCUCACCAAUGGCAGACAGCAGUAUUCAGUGCUCAAUUUAUGGUUUUGGCACUUUAAAUAUUGACCUUGUGAAAUGCUUUUGUAUAUACAUGUAGUACUGUAUAUGUGUAAGAUGCUUUUGUACUUGAUAUUGUUCACAGAGAACGUCUUUAUUUAUACCUGAUGUUUUAGUAUUUCUAGCAUUAUCCUGAUUUCUGGAAUGCCACUAUGGUUUGCAAUCAACCUAUUGGUAGCUAUUUUUAAAAUUCCACUAAAAAACACAAAACAUACUAUUAGAUUCAAACCACAAUUCUUUUUACCUGUGUUUAUUAAAAUAACUAAUAAGAGAAGUAUGUUGCCAUUAGUAAAUAUCAUUUACAGUAUAAUUCAAUGUUAUUACACAAUUAUGUAUUUUGUACUGUCCACUAAAUUACGAUGUUGUCCACCGUUACUAAAUGUCCAAAAUUUGCAUUUAUAGCCAAUAUUCCAGGACUAUACUUUAAAUAGAUUACACCAUUAUGUGGUAUACACAAUAAUGUAAGAGAUAUAUCAAUGCAGUGAAACCCCUCUAAACCAGACACCAAUGGAAACAAGUAAAACGUAAGGUGUAUCUAGUAAAGAUGAGUUCUAUUCUGUACUGAUAUCUAAAAUGGUACCAUGAAAAAUUUCUGGUUUACAGAGGGGUCCAGUUUUGAGGGGUUUGACUGUAGUAACAUGCUAGCAUUAACCCCGACAAAAUUACAUUUCUACCUAUUUGCUAUAGUUGAAGGUAACUUAGCAGACAGUAGCAUAUAGUAAAUAUUUCCCAUCAUAUGACCUUGUCAUUCUGACCUACAUGUAUUAUCAUGCAGGCUUUUGUAGAUUUUUGAUAUACUUGAUCUACUUUGUGAUAGAAUGGUUAAACCCAUUCAGUAUAUUGGUAGUUUAUUGCAUGGGUAACUUGGUGGACAGAAUAAAGAAUUAGAAAAAGUA